AUGAUGAGAACAGAGCCAGUACAUUGGGCAAGGGCAUUUUUUCUAGUGGGUUCCAACUGUGAAUCAGUUGACAAUAAUCUUUGUGAAUCUUUUAAUCAUGCAAUUGUUGAAGCAAGGUUUUAUCCAAUAAUUUCAAUGCAAGAAAAAAUUAGGAAACAAAUACUUGUUAGAAUUCAGGAACAAAGGGCCAAAGAUCAGAAGUUUCAUGGAAGAAUCUGCCCCAGUGCUUUUAAGAAGUUGAAG
rnacentral:rRNA from 1 species